rnacentral:lncRNA from 1 species
CAAAGAUGCCCCCGGGGAGCGUGGUCAGCUGGUUCCUGGACAAGUUGAGGAGCUGAAGCCUGGACAGAUUGUGAAAGAGAGCCGGGUGCAGGGCCGUCAAGUUAUUGCUGUCCAGAGAGAGUUUAACCAACUGCUCGAGGUUCCUGAAAACAUGCUCGGGAAGGUCAGUGAUGGCAUUGUGCGAGAGCGUGAGGGAAACAAGACGUGACAGGUUGGUGAAGGCCCCCUCGGGGAUGGUCUCCAGCUGGUUGUAGGAAAGAGACAGGUGAAGGAGGCCCUGGUUGUGGGCAAAGAGACCCUCGGGCAGAGUCCGCAGUGCGUUGUCCUUCAGGCUUAGAAAGGUCAGAUUGUGCAGGGAGGAGAAGAGAGAGACCGGCAGGUGGCAGAUGGCAUUGUGCUGCAGCCAUAGCAUCUCUAGGCUGAACAGCUGUGAGAACAGAUGUGGGGACAGCUCUGUGAUGGCAUUGCCAUCCAGGAAGAGCUCUUGCAGGCUGCUCAGACUGCCCAGCGCUCCCUCGGGGAGUCUGGCAAGCAUAUUGUUACUCAGCUUCAACAUCUGCAGGCCAGUGAGUGACUGGAACGCCCCCUUAGGCAGCUGUGUCAGGAGGUUCUGAGCCAGGUUGAGGGUUCUCAGAUCCCUCAGAGACUGGAAUAGUCUCCCGGGCAAGGUUCGGAGUUGGUUUCCUUGAAGUUGGAGGGACUCCAGGAUGUCCAUGUGGCAAAAGAGAUCCUCAGGCAGACCCGCCAGCCUGUCAAAGUCCAGGGUGAGCUUCUCCAGUGAGCUCAGGUUAGAAAAGAUGUGGGCGCUGAGGUUGGAGACGGGGCUGCCCGUGAUCUCCAGGUCCUGCAGCCUGGGCAGUCCUCCAAAGGCAUCGGGCUCCAGGUGACGGACCUGAGUGUUGAGGAAGACCACCUUGGUCAGGUUGGGGCUACCGCUGAAAGCCCUGGUCCUCACCGUGGUGAAGGCAGUCUCCACAAAGACAAUGUCUGUGAUGUGUGGGGGGAUGUCCGGAGGGAUGUCGGCCAGCUGCUCGUCUGAGCAGAAGACCUCCCUGCCGAAGCAGUCGCAGCCCACGGGGCAAGGCUGGGUGAGCCUCGCCAGGAGCAGGAGUGAGACCCAGCACAACCACGCUCCCGGGAACAUCGUCUGGAUCCAAGGAGGACAGAAAACAAAACAAAAAGAAUGCCUUUAAUAUGGGCGUCAUAGUGCAGUGCCCAGAUCACUAAACGGCUGGAACCGGCUUCCACACUUCCAUUCCACCAUCUCGAUGCCUGUGGAAACUGUAUGGCUGUGGGUGAGAUGCUCCAAGAAGCCAGCUGUAACUGUACUGCGAGCUGUUUCCUACAGUCUCCUGAUGAAAGCCCUAGACAGCCCAUGAAGCCUCUACAGGGAUUGUAAGUUGGGCACUGUGCAGAAAAGACUCACAAAAGAUAAUGGUGGAACUAGUUUCCUAAGGUGCCAAGAGGGUUAGGGGAAGAGCUUUGAAGGACACCCAGGCCCUGAACAUCUUUACCAUGCUAGUUCUGGUUGGCCUUUAUUAGCCUUCUAGAGUCAACUGUUCUCCCCACUCUGCACAAGGCUGGGAUGGCAGUCUAGAAAGCACUGAACAGAUGAGGCGAGUGGAUUGAACUCUGCACCCUAUCACAGACUUCUAGGGACCACAGAGCUUUUUCCAGCCCAAGAACUGAGCAAAAUGGAUUACCUUAUUGGAAAGGACCCUCCACCCAGUGUUCUGCCAACUCUCUCCCUGACUAGAAAAUGUGAUUUUGAGGAACUGUGCCUUCGCUCACUGCCUGGGAGCUCCUGGGCAUGUCAUUAGAGGACAGCUGUCCUCAGGCCAGCCUUUGAGCCAGUGAGGUACACCACUGCCAUGGUCAAUGUCAGAUGUAGCCUGUGUUUCCAGGUUAUGAUUGGCAGGGGACACUGGAUACUAUGGAUGCUACCUCUCUCUAUCCUUAGCCCACUGAGGAUGGGCAUAGCUCACAAGGAGCGCCUGAUAGUUCUGGGAGCACGGUACUGUGUCAAGCUUCCAUCUGCUGUAAAGCAGGCCCAGCUCCUUCUCUUCGCCCCAGGACCUACCAGCAAGCCACAGCCAGCAGAACCAAGCUCACACUCACUCUGGGGCUGGAGACAACUUUGGUUCGUGUGUGCCAGUUGCUAGAGAUACUUUACAAACACUUUGACGACCCAGAUUGGCCUUGGAAAGAUGAUGUCUUUUGACCAACAUCAGCUUCCCUGGGCCAUCGAGUGUGUUGGUUCUCACAAGCGUUCCUUAUGAAGUAUUCUGUCGGGGACCUGGACAUAGUGUAAGUUCCACAUUGCCAAGACCCAGAGGGGUUUCUGAUUUGCCUUAUGAGUGUCACCUCAGGUUGGAGAUAGAGUCACUUCACAAAUCCCUGUGCUUAGCUGGGGUCUUUCCCUCACUUACAGAGAAACCUGAAAUUCUUUGUUUCCUGUGUUGUUUUUGAGGGAGGGUCUUUCUGCAUAGCCCUGGCCAUCCUGGAACUUGCUCUGUAGACAGGCUACUCUUGAACUCACUAAAGACAUGACCCACCAUGUCUGCUUAUUUUGAAGCUUUUACUUCUGCAUGGAUUGGUGUAUUAGUCGUCCUGAGAAAGCUGUGUUGUCUUAUCAGAACUGUUUAAUGUGCAGAAAUAGUUUGUAGCAGGAAACAGAGCUAAGGCAGAUAUAGUGUGACUGUCACCCAAAGAGAAAACUCUAAACUAAACCACUCAGUUCACAACCAGACCCCAGGCAGAAAGUUCUGCAGAGCACCCCAUACCCUCGUGUGACCUUCCAGCGUGCCCCGAUAUCUGCUGUCUGUAAACACGCUGCACUCUAGCUACAGCUGACUAAUGCUGAUGGAGAAUUUGACCACAGUAUAGACUGAUUCCUGGUUUCCAUUACACUUGGUCGUUCAGCUGGAAGAUCUCAUCUCUUAGCAAUUUUGCUUCCCCCCAAGUGGGGAACAAAAAUUAGAAACAGAUACAGGCCUAGAAUGCCCAUAAAAGGAUUAGUAGAGGGGCUGCCAAUGAGCAACACGGGGCUCACUGUCAGGGAAGAAGUGCUUGCACAGGCCACUGUCGUUUCUAUGCUUCUGGUCUGGCCAGCGUGGCUGCUUUUUGUCCUGACUGCACCUACAUCUCUUUUACUCCUAACAGCUGGGCCUAUGCAAAGGCUUCCUUCCCAUGGAGAGGUAGGGGAGGUUGUAAGAAUCCUUCCCCAGACCAUGGGGAAGCUAGAAACUCUCCAGCAUCCCCAGAAAGUCCCCCAGAACAAGCUUGGAGUGGGGAGUCACUACAAUACCAUUUCUUGGUAUCAUGCCAAUCACACGGGUAUGUGUGUGAUGCUUCAAUACAAAAUCAGAAGAGGCAAAGGCAGCAGGGUGUGCAAGGACCCCAGGCAGCGGGUCACAUUCUUCAGCCACUUUCAGUGAGCUGAUUUUUGUGUUUUGAGAACUUAGCCAUUUGGCAUGAUUCUAUACCAUCAAGGGCCAGGCUCUUUGAAGGAAAGCUUGAGGCUUUAAACAUGCUCCUCUGAAAGGCUGAGCUUGGCACAGCAGAUGCUGACAAUAACACUGCCUUGGAUCAGAUGGCACAGAUGUCUUCCUGUCUUGCAGAACACCCUCCAAAGCCAGUGCAGUGAGCUAAAAGAUUCAAACCCUCUCGGAGAGAGAAUAUAGUCUGUCUUCAGCAGCAGAUAAACAAAAGGGGGACCUCUCACUGGAAGAGACAGAGUCAAGCCGUGGCACAAAAAGGAGAAGCGAGAGGGGAAAAAAAAGAAAGCAGCAUCUAUAAUACUUUGAGGCACAGCUGUGCCAGCAGAGAACUAUCUCACCAUGUGAGCAGGCCUUGUCAUCAUUAAGUCUACAGAGGUUGGGAGGGGCUGGGCACGGGGAAGCUUGUUCUUGAAAGAAGUGAGGAUUUGGCAGAGGGCCCCUCAGAAAGUUGCCUAGGCACUGACCGAGAAACCCCUUGGUUGAUUGGUUUCUUGCUUGCUUGCUUUUUUUUUUUUUUAAUGACCAAUUAGAUUUCUCUGGGAGUAAAAGGUCCUGAAACACCUGCUUCUCUAUAGAAGAUUCAGGGGCACAGGACAAGAUGGGGCACAUUUCCCCUGGGGCCACCAGGGCCUGGUUAUGUGGCCCCAGGUUUGGAAGUUGAAUGAUCACCUUCUCGGAUCCUCUGACCUCCUCCUUCCCCCACCCUGUUCGAGCUUGCCUCCCUAGCACUCAUUGGGAGCCUUCAUCUGCAUCAGGACUGCCUGGCUCCUCUUUUUGCAGCAGCAGCAGCAGAUACAGGCAGCGAGGGAACAGGCCAAAGCUAUGAUGCCAAUCACAAUGGCAGCAAUGGCCAGCCCACUCUGGGCAUCAGUCAUGCCCCAUGUAUUGCGGUCAUCAAUGGGUUCGAUGGUGUUUAGAUCGGUGUAGUCAUCAUCGGUAGACCUGGUGAUCUCUGUGGUAGAAGAAAUGGAUGUGCUGUCAGGAUAGCUGGAUGUAUCUGGGUAGCUAGAUACUUCAGGGGUUUCUGGGCCCUGGACACUGGGUCCAGGGAAAUUGACAUUGAUGAUGACAAGGGACUGGCCUCGGACACUGGCUGGACUGGAACACACUGGAAGAGUGUCUGUCCCCAACCUGGCUCUGUUGAGAAUGAGCCAGUCAUGAAGUGGGAGGAUGUUUGAGUCACAUCUCCAGGGGUUGUCAUAGAGACGAAGCUCACACAGGUUCCCUAAGUGAUCAAAGAUGCCCAGAGGCAAGUUCUCUAGAUUGUUGUUCUGCAGUUGGAUGGUCAUGAGACCAUUGACGUUGGCGAAGAUGCUGCCAGGGAGCUGUCGAAGGCGGUUAUUCUGGAGUGAGACGUUCCUCAGGUUGGCCAGUGAUCGGAAGACAUUCCCAUCCAGGUCCUGUAGAGCAUUGGUGUGGAGGGACAGUUCUCGGAGAUUCGUCAGCCCAUUGAAGGCUCCUGGGGAGAUGUAACUGAGCUGGUUGUGACUAAGAAUCAGAACCUGCAACUGGUUCAGGUGGCUGAAGGCAUUGUCAGGGAGGGAGGUAAUGUGAUUGUUGUAGAGCCAAAGCUCCCUCAGGUUGGGCAUGGGCCCAAAGACCCCCGGGGAAAGCUCCUUCAGGGAAUUCCCAAAGAGUGUGAGCUUGUUAAGGUGGGGCAGCUGCAUGAAGAUGCCAGGGGGCAGAUGUGAGAUGUGGUUGUUGGAUAGAUACAGUCUCUGGAGGUUACGGUUAUUGUGGAACAAGCCAGGGGAGAGGGUGCCAAUCUGGUUCUCUUGGAGGGCCAGCUCCUGGAGGUUGCCAAGUGCAUCAAAAGUGCCCAUGGGGAUGUCUGAAAGCCUGUUCUCAUAUAGCCGAAGCACCUGGAGGUUGCCCAGAUGCUGAAAGACCCUAGGGGAUAGGUGGGUGAAGCCGUUGUUGCCCAGGUUGAGUUUGGUGAGACCUACCAGGUGGUCAAAGACUCCUUCGGGGAUGUAUUCCAGAUUGUUGCCAUACAACUGGAGUUCCUUAAGAUUACUAAACUGGGAGAACUGGGCCGGCUGGAUCUGCACCAGCUGGUUAUUGGACAGCAGGAGGGUCUCCAGAUUGUUCACAUCCUGGAAGAGCCUAACGGGCAGGUUCUUUAGUUUGUUGUUGGCAAGGCUGAGGUGACGCAGCGAGCCCAGAUUGCGGAAGGCACCUGGCAUGAUGUUGGCCAGCUCGUUCUUCUCCAUCUUCAGGGCGAUGAGGGCUGAAAUGUUGAGGAACUUGUCCUCGGGGAGUUCGGUGAUGUGUGUGUUAAGGAUCUGCAGGCUCAUAGCAUUCCAGGGCAGAGGGGAAGGCAUCGCCACAAUUUGUGCCCCUGUGCACUCUACCUGGGAGGCCCGGGAACAGGUACAUUCGCUGGGGCAGCCAUAGUAGGCCAAACCUGCAGCCCAGGCCUGGCAGCUCACCAGCAAAAGGAGAUAAUGUUUCAGCGGCAUGGCCUGUGUGAGCAGAGAGAGAUGUGAGUCACCGUUACCUCACCUACCCACAACCUUCUGCUUCCAUCGCAGCUUCGAGCCCCACCUUCAUGCACCUAACUCAAAGCUCUCUCUACUUUUGGCCAGAGAGCCCCUUCCUACUUCUGCCCAAGCAAUCGCCUCGCCUGGAAGGCUCUGCAAGUUCAUUCAAGUCUUCCCCAUGCUUCUAGGUCAAGUUCAAGUCCCGCCAUCAUUAAGAAGUUUUCUAGAUUUCAUCAAUGGGUACUAGUCACCCCCUUGUACGAGUGAUAGCCCUAACCCCUUCUAUUGCCAUGAAGCAGCCAGCCUUAGGUGACAUCUAUCUGUCUCCUUCCCUAGUUAGCAAGCUUUAUAAGUGUGUUAACCUUACAAUCCUAUGGGUUGCUAAGAUUAAAAGCUG